UUCUGUCUGCAAAUAUUAGCUAAUCCCUGGCUUCGCUCUGAGGGAGACGCCGGCGAGAUAGACAGAGGCUGGGGCCCGAGUCAGGAGCCUCUCGGAGAAGAAUCGAAGAAUCAGAGGGCACGCCGGGAGCGGAAGGACAGACGCAGCGGGUCCCCUGCGUCCCAUUAUCUCUCUGUGUGUCAGAGUUUGGCCUCUGGUCCCUGGAACAUCCAGGGAACAGGGAUUCCUCCUCGUUAGUUCUCUGGUUGCCGUGGGGCUGAGUGGGGGAAGGGAGCACCCCUCUUCUGCAGGCAGGUUUUGUUGUGGAAAAUCCCCUGUCGUUUCCCUCCUUGCCCUGGGAAGGCCCCUGUGGGCGCAGGUUGGGGUCUGGGGGUGGCGGGGGCGGCUGUCAGGUCUGCAGGCUGAACGCAGCCCUGCUUAAGGUGCAGGGGACUGGCCACACCUCUUCCGGCCCCAGGACAUGCCCGUGGAACGCUUUUGUGUCUCCCCUGCCCAAAUUCGCAGACCAAAGACCUGACCCCCCAGCGUGACUGUUUGGAGGGAAGGCCACGUGAAGACACAGUGAGAAAGUGACCACCUGUGAGCCAGGAGAGAGGCCUCAGAAGACAACCAACCCACUGAUAAGGCCUUGAACUUGGACUUCUAGACUACAGAAAUGUGAGAAAAGAGCUGUCUGUGGUGAAGA